GGUUGCCGGUGUAACUGCUAUACCCUGUCCCAUACCUUACAAGGCCCUUCCCUCUGUCUCAGGGUCACCCUAAUUUCCUGGAUCUUCCUCCAGAGAAUGCACUGCUCAACCUUCUAGCCUCAGCCCCUCUGGGGGGAAGCAAGACUGGCAGGCGGGAAGGGGAGCAGUCUAUUUGAGUCUCCUGGGCUUGUCUUCCUGAAACUUCCUGCUGCCUCUCUGGGGCUAUCUCACCUGUGCGCAUGUCUUUGGGGAGUUGCCCUGUCUCCAGGAAGAGCCAGAGAUCUCUGCACUUCUGAGACUCCGUUCUGGUCACUCUGUAGCUGGCCACAGAUCCUACAACUGGAGAUCAGGAAGCAGGAGGGUGGUGGGUUGGGGACCUCAGCUUCCGCACACGGUGGGUGGGCUCCAGCCAAAACUGGGGCUGGAUCACAUUCGGGUCUUUAUCGGAAACACACCAAUAUUGUAGAGUCCCCCGCAACGGAUGUAUUUCAGGGCCUAGGCACCCACCAUGGAGAACUCACCGGCAGCCACCAGGAAGCUCCACUGCACAGGGUAUGGAAACUUCCGCUUAAUGAACAGCUGCAGGCCAAAAGUCGCACCAGUGCCUGCCAAGAGCCAAGGAACCACUGGUCAGCCUGCAAGGAGGGUCCCCCCCUCCGCCGCCCCCUGACGGGGCUCCCCCUGCCUUCAGGUCAGCUUCUGAGGCCUAGAUCCAGCACCCGAGGCCAGCCUUCUCACCGGGUGUUUGGCGGCCACCGCAUCAUCCACUCGGGACAGGCCCAAAUUCACCAUGGGGCUGGGAUCCUGUGGAGGAGUCCAUAGAGCUAGGCUGGUUGCCCACAGGAGGUCGGAAGGUACUGGCUGGACAGGGAGAUGCCAGGACAUCCACGAGGCUCCCAGAGGGUAGCAGGUGGGCUGAACGUUCUGGAAAGUGUGAGCAGGGGGUUGUGGGGGGAGGAUUAUUAGAUGGUAUGUGAAAAAGAACUCUGGGGCUUGUUUCGGAGCUAGAGAGGGGCAAGGACACAGGUGGGUGGACUACCUGAUAUUGACUUUGCCACCUGAGCAUGAGAGGAGCUGGAGUCAGAGAGGGCCAGUAAAUGCGUUUCAGGGAAUGCAGUGGGUUGUGUGGCUUCCAUGGCGUGUCCCUGCAGAUCCCUCACUCCAGAUUAGAAGCCCUGUUGGUGGCAUAGUCUGGUUGUCUGUGGCAGGACUCUGUAUGGGUUGGGCUCAGAGACUGUGGACGGCAGGUUUGGGUGGGGUUAGGGUUUGCCAGAUGUUUAUGCCUGGGUGAAAAGUGUGUCGAGGACCUGGCUGUGGUGUGCACCCGAGUCAUCCUAGCGCUCGGUGAAGGAAGGUGAAGGCAGGAUGAUUUUGAGUUCAAGGUCAGUCUGGGCUAAACUUGAGGGCCUGUU